GUUGUCCUACGGGACGCAGCAGUGAGGAAUAUUGGUCAAUGGCCGAGAGGCUGAACCAGCCAAGUCGCGUGAGGGAAGAAUGUCCUAAGGAUUGUAAACCUCUUUUGUCGGGGAGCAAAAAGGCUCUGCGGAGUCGUAUUGAGAGUACCCGAAGAAAAAGCAUCGGCUAACUCCGUGCCAGCAGCCGCGGUAAUACGGAGGAUGCGAGCGUUAUCCGGAUUUAUUGGGUUUAAAGGGUGCGUAGGCGGGCUGUUAAGUCAGCGGUAAAAGCCCGGGGCUCAACCCCGGCGAGCCGUUGAAACUGG
rnacentral:rRNA from 1 species